GGUUAAGCGACUAAGCGUACACGGUGGAUGCCCUGGCAGUCAGAGGCGAUGAAGGACGUGCUAAUCUGCGAUAAGCGUCGGUAAGGUGAUAUGAACCGUUAUAACCGGCGAUUUCCGAAUGGGGAAACCCAGUGUGUUUCGACACACUAUCAUUAACUGAAUCCAUAGGUUAAUGAGGCGAACCGGGGGAACUGAAACAUCUAAGUACCCCGAGGAAAAGAAAUCAACCGAGAUUCCCCCAGUAGCGGCGAGCGAACGGGGAGCAGCCCAGAGCCUGAAUCAGUGUGUGUGUUAGUGGAAGCGUCUGGAAAGGCGCGCGAUACAGGGUGACAGCCCCGUACACAAAAAUGCACAUGCUGUGAGCUCGAUGAGUAGGGCGGGACACGUGGUAUCCUGUCUGAAUAUGGGGGGACCAUCCUCCAAGGCUAAAUACUCCUGACUGACCGAUAGUGAACCAGUACCGUGAGGGAAAGGCGAAAAGAACCCCGGCGAGGGGAGUGAAAAAGAACCUGAAACCGUGUACGUACAAGCAGUGGGAGCACGCUUAGGCGUGUGACUGCGUACCUUUUGUAUAAUGGGUCAGCGACUUAUAUUCUGUAGCAAGGUUAACCGAAUAGGGGAGCCGAAGGGAAACCGAGUCUUAACUGGGCGUUAAGUUGCAGGGUAUAGACCCGAAACCCGGUGAUCUAGCCAUGGGCAGGUUGAAGGUUGGGUAACACUAACUGGAGGACCGAACCGACUAAUGUUGAAAAAUUAGCGGAUGACUUGUGGCUGGGGGUGAAAGGCCAAUCAAACCGGGAGAUAGCUGGUUCUCCCCGAAAGCUAUUUAGGUAGCGCCUCGUGAAUUCAUCUCCGGGGGUAGAGCACUGUUUCGGCAAGGGGGUCAUCCCGACUUACCAACCCGAUGCAAACUGCGAAUACCGGAGAAUGUUAUCACGGGAGACACACGGCGGGUGCUAACGUCCGUCGUGAAGAGGGAAACAACCCAGACCGCCAGCUAAGGUCCCAAAGUCAUGGUUAAGUGGGAAACGAUGUGGGAAGGCCCAGACAGCCAGGAUGUUGGCUUAGAAGCAGCCAUCAUUUAAAGAAAGCGUAAUAGCUCACUGGUCGAGUCGGCCUGCGCGGAAGAUGUAACGGGGCUAAACCAUGCACCGAAGCUGCGGCAGCGACACUAUGUGUUGUUGGGUAGGGGAGCGUUCUGUAAGCCUGUGAAGGUGUGCUGUGAGGCAUGCUGGAGGUAUCAGAAGUGCGAAUGCUGACAUAAGUAACGAUAAAGCGGGUGAAAAGCCCGCUCGCCGGAAGACCAAGGGUUCCUGUCCAACGUUAAUCGGGGCAGGGUGAGUCGACCCCUAAGGCGAGGCCGAAAGGCGUAGUCGAUGGGAAACAGGUUAAUAUUCCUGUACUUGGUGUUACUGCGAAGGGGGGACGGAGAAGGCUAUGUUGGCCGGGCGACGGUUGUCCCGGUUUAAGCGUGUAGGCUGGUUUUCCAGGCAAAUCCGGAAAAUCAAGGCUGAGGCGUGAUGACGAGGCACUACGGUGCUGAAGCAACAAAUGCCCUGCUUCCAGGAAAAGCCUCUAAGCAUCAGGUAACAUCAAAUCGUACCCCAAACCGACACAGGUGGUCAGGUAGAGAAUACCAAGGCGCUUGAGAGAACUCGGGUGAAGGAACUAGGCAAAAUGGUGCCGUAACUUCGGGAGAAGGCACGCUGAUAUGUAGGUGAAGUCCCUUGCGGAUGGAGCUGAAAUCAGUCGAAGAUACCAGCUGGCUGCAACUGUUUAUUAAAACACAGCACUGUGCAAACACGAAAGUGGACGUAUACGGUGUGACGCCUGCCCGGUGCCGGAAGGUUAAUUGAUGGGGUCAGCGCAAGCGAAGCUCUUGAUCGAAGCCCCGGUAAACGGCGGCCGUAACUAUAACGGUCCUAAGGUAGCGAAAUUCCUUGUCGGGUAAGUUCCGACCUGCACGAAUGGCGUAAUGAUGGCCAGGCUGUCUCCACCCGAGACUCAGUGAAAUUGAACUCGCUGUGAAGAUGCAGUGUACCCGCGGCAAGACGGAAAGACCCCGUGAACCUUUACUAUAGCUUGACACUGAACAUUGAGCCUUGAUGUGUAGGAUAGGUGGGAGGCUUUGAAGUGUGGACGCCAGUCUGCAUGGAGCCGACCUUGAAAUACCACCCUUUAAUGUUUGAUGUUCUAACGUGGACCCGUGAUCCGGGUUGCGGACAGUGUCUGGUGGGUAGUUUGACUGGGGCGGUCUCCUCCUAAAGAGUAACGGAGGAGCACGAAGGUUGGCUAAUCCUGGUCGGACAUCAGGAGGUUAGUGCAAUGGCAUAAGCCAGCUUGACUGCGAGCGUGACGGCGCGAGCAGGUGCGAAAGCAGGUCAUAGUGAUCCGGUGGUUCUGAAUGGAAGGGCCAUCGCUCAACGGAUAAAAGGUACUCCGGGGAUAACAGGCUGAUACCGCCCAAGAGUUCAUAUCGACGGCGGUGUUUGGCACCUCGAUGUCGGCUCAUCACAUCCUGGGGCUGAAGUAGGUCCCAAGGGUAUGGCUGUUCGCCAUUUAAAGUGGUACGCGAGCUGGGUUUAGAACGUCGUGAGACAGUUCGGUCCCUAUCUGCCGUGGGCGCUGGAGAACUGAGGGGGGCUGCUCCUAGUACGAGAGGACCGGAGUGGACGCAUCACUGGUGUUCGGGUUGUCAUGCCAAUGGCACUGCCCGGUAGCUAAAUGCGGAAGAGAUAAGUGCUGAAAGCAUCUAAGCACGAAACUUGCCCCGAGAUGAGUUCUCCCUGACUCCUUGAGAGUCCUGAAGGAACGUUGAAGACGACGACGUUGAUAGGCCGGGUGUGUAAGCGCAGCGAUGCGUUGAGCUAACCGGUACUAAUGAACCGUGAGGCUUAACCUU
rnacentral:rRNA from 1 species